UACGGAGGGAGCUAGCGUUGUUCGGAAUUACUGGGCGUAAAGCGCACGUAGGCGGCUUUGUAAGUCAGAGGUGAAAUCCUGGGGCUCAACUCCAGAACUGCCUUUGAGACUGCAUCGCUAGAAUCCGGGAGAGGUGAGUGGAAUUCCGAGUGUAGAGGUGAAAUUCGUAGAUAUUCGGAAGAACACCAGUGGCGAAGGCGGCUCACUGGACCGGUAUUGACGCUGAGGUGCGAAAGCGUGGGGAGCAAACAGG
rnacentral:rRNA from 1 species